AAUCAACGCUGGCGGCGUGCCUAACACAUGCAAGUCGAGCGAGAAAGUGUAGCAAUACAUGAGUACAGCGGCGCACGGGUGAGUAACACGUGGGUAAUCUGCCCUUGAGUGGGGAAUAACACCGGGAAACCGGUGCUAAUACCGCAUACGAUCACGAUGUCUGCGGAUGUUGUGAUGAAGGGAGCAAUUCGCUCUUGGAGGAGCCCGCGGCUGAUUAGCUAGUUGGUAAGGUAACGGCUUACCAAGGCAACGAUCAGUAGCCGGUCUGAGAGGACGGUCGGCCACACUGGAACUGAGACACGGUCCAGACUCCUACGGGAGGCAGCAGUGGGGAAUUUUUCGCAAUGGGGGCAACCCUGACGAAGCAACGCCGCGUGGGUGAUGAAGUCUCUUGGGACGUAAAACCCUUUCGACGGGGAAGAAACCGCAAGGUUGACGGUACCCGUAGAAGAAGCCCCGGCUAACUCCGUGCCAGCCGCCGCCGUAAGAC
rnacentral:rRNA from 1 species